rnacentral:rRNA from 1 species
UACGUAGGGAGCAAGCGUUGUCCGGAAUCAUUGGGCGUAAAGCGCGCGUAGGUGGCCUCAUAAGUCCGCUGUGAAAGUCAAAGGCUCAACCUUUGAAAGCCGGUGGAUACUGUGAGGCUAGAGUGCGGUAGGGGAGAAUGGAACUCCUGGUGUAGCGGUGGAAUGCGCAGAUAUCAGGAGGAACACCGGUGGCGAAGGCGGGUCUCUGGGCAGUAACUGACGCUGAGGAGCGAAAGCGUGGGGAGCGAACAGG